GGGUGGAGCUCAGUGGUAGAGCUCAUGCUUAGCAUGCAUGAGGUCCUGGGUUCAAUCCCCAGUCCCUCCA
rnacentral:tRNA from 1 species